rnacentral:rRNA from 1 species
CCCCUUUUUUUCCAAAACAUGUCUUGGUGAUUUAAUUAUACUAAGUCUGGCCUGCUCAAUGAUUUUUUUAAAUAGCCGCAGUAUAUUGACUGUGCAAAGGUAGCAUAAUCAUUUGUCUUUUAAUUGAAGGCUUGUAUGAAUGGUUGGAUGAGGGAACGACUUUCUUUAUAUUAGGAAUUGAAUUUAAUUUUUUAGUUAAAAAGCUUAAAUUUAUAAGUGGGACGAGAAGACCCUAUAGAAUUUUAUUUUAUUGUAAUAAUUACUAUUUUAGGGUUUAAUUAUUAAAUGUUACAAUAAAAUUUUGUUGGGGUGAUGGUGAGAUUUUUAUAACUCUCAUAAUUUAUAUUUUUAUUAAUUAGUAUUUUUAAGAUCCUAUUUUAUGGAUAAUUAGUUUAAAUUACCUUAGGGAUAACAGCGUUAUUUCUUCUGAGAGUUCUUAUCGAUGAAGAAGUUUGCGACCUCGAUGUUGGAUUAAAAUUAGGAUUAGGUGUAGCAGCUUAAUUUCUAGGUCUGUUCGACCUUUAAAUUUUUACAUGAUUGGUUUUCAAACCG